rnacentral:rRNA from 1 species
AUUGAACGCUGGCGGCAUGCCUUACACAUGCAAGUCGAACGGCAGCAUGGAGAGCUUGCUCUCUGAUGGCGAGUGGCGAACGGGUGAGUAAUGCAUCGGAACGUACCGUGUAAUGGGGGAUAACGUAGCGAAAGUUACGCUAAUACCGCAUACGACCUGAGGGUGAAAGCAGGGGAUCGCAAGACCUUGCGUUAUACGAGCGGCCGAUGUCAGAUUAGCUAGUUGGUGAGGUAAAGGCUCACCAAGGCGACGAUCGGUAGCGGGUCUGAGAGGAUGAGCCGCCACGCAGGGACGGGCACACGGCCCAGACUCCUACGGGGGGCAGCAGUGUGGAAUUUUGGACGAGGGGGGCAACCCUGAUCCAGCCAUGCCGCGUGGGUGAAGAAGGCCUUCGGGUUGUAAAGCUCUUUCGGCCGGUAAGAAAUCGCACAGGCUAAUACUCUGUGUGGAUGACGGUACCGGCAUAAGAAGCACCGGCUAACUACGUGCCAGCCGCCGCAGUAA